CAAGCAUUGGGGCGGUCAGAAGCUUUCUGAGAUCCUGCUGUACUUCAUUCGCUUCCAUCGACCUCACCUGUACAUUCCCCGCUAUAAACUUAAAUGUAGGAAGCCUCUAAAACCUCUACAUCAUGUCCGAAGCUGAGAGCGCAGCACUGCGGCUCUGCACAUACAUCCUUCUCAUAACAUCACAUAGCUGGAGACGUCGGAGGUCAUGUUGGACAGAAUAUGUAAAUAAUAACUGCGGGUGAAUUUUCAGUGAUGAUUUCUCAGGUGGAAACAGAACACAAGUUGGAGUAUGAGAGUUUCUCCUCUGAUUCUCUGUAAGGCAGUGCUCCUCAGAUCCUCGCUGUCCUAACACACACAUAAUCAACUGAUGACAAAACCCAAAAUCCUCUCAUUACUUACUACAUUACAUUACUACUUUCAUUACCACUACGAUCUUUUCAUUAGUACUUAGAAAUGAACAUUUAGAGGAUUUUCUGCAUUCAAAUGAUCCCAAAAACAUACAAAAACACACACAAAAAGCUCUUUGUCUCUUUAAACUUCCACUCGCUCUCCUUCUCACACUUUAACAAAUCCCGAACUAGGAAGCUCGUUUCAGAGCGAUAGUCUCAUUAUCCGUCUUUAAGAAUCGCAAUUUUGCCCAAAAGGCUUUGGAAAAGUACCGUACAAGAGAAGAUCUGCUUCGUCUUCGUCUGUUAUUUGUGUAUGGUGGAUUAACACAGAGGUCACCAAACUGUAAAGUGAACUAAAGAACUAAAAAGGUGACAACUUCAAAUCUUUCUUCCAAACAAUGCAACAACAACAACAAAAAAAAUUCUAAUCUAAUUUCUAAUGUCUUAGUCGGAUAUGAGCUCAUGAAUUCAUGUAAAUGAUUCCAGGUGACUUACAGGUCAAAAUUCUGCUCUUAUUAGAGUGUUGAAUAAGUGACCUUUAACCCUUCAGGUAAUCUUUAACCAUUGUGCUCAUAAUACACAAACACAGCUGGGCUCACACUGUAACUGUGAAGUAAAUCUGAACUUCCUCCUUCACAAACACUGAACACUUCUGGGUUAUUUUUAACAAUUCGGUUGCUGGGUUUAGUUUGUUGGGUCACGUAGUCGGCCAGCGUGAUUAAACUGGGCCGAUGAUGGGAAGAUCAUCAUGCUGGGUUGGGUUGUGGACCUAAAAGGGAACAGGCAUCAUGAUUUAUUUCCUGGAAAUGAAAGAAAUCAGCUGCAACUGCAACAAAUGAUCACAUUUAACUGAAUUUUUAAUGUGUAGUUUGGCUUGAUAAGCCAGUGUUAGAAUACUGACAAUAAGUACAUACACUAGUAAACAUUAUUGAAGAAGGAAGUACACCUGAACUUACUUCUCGUAAUAAAUGAAUCAAAUUGGUAUUUUUUUGUAAGAAUAUUUGAAAGAUUAGAUUAAAGAUUAGAUUCCUACACAAUGGCUGCUACAGGACUAUAAUGUUACUUCUAGAUAGCUAAAAAAACGACCUGGUGUUUUCUCUGCAACUUCAUUUUAAUCCUGCGUUUGAUAUUCAUCACUUAUUAUUCCAAAAUGUACACGGAUAUUAUACUGACAUUGAUACUGAGCUAAUUAUAAAUUAGUAAUGCUUCCACACUAGGUGUUCUUGUAGACAUAAAGUGAUGCCUGACUCUUAUUUUGCGUCGAUAUGAAAACAGGCUGGUCACAUGACACUCACACGGUAUUCCAGCAUUCAUUCCUUUACAGUUGAAUAAAAGAGCGACACAUCCGGUUCAACCCGCAGCACCCGAGUGAACUUUAACCCUUUUAUCUGCAGUUAAUAUUCAUCCACUGAGCUCCUGAGCUCAUAAGUGCGGAAACAGUGAUAUGUAUUUUAUUUGCUCACAGAGUGAGCUAAAGGAGGAGCUGAAACAGGCUGUGAACCCUUUCCACAUGGAAACGUCAACCUUAGGAGACUUCUGUGAUAUGACUCUGGAUCCAGACACUGAGCAUAAUAACCUCACUCUGUCUGAGAAGAACAGAGCAGUGGGAUUUAGAGUGAGAGACAGCAGUACUCUGAUCAUCCAGAGAGAUUUGGCUACUACAUGCAGGUGUUGAGUAAGGAGAGUGUGUGUGGACGCUGUUACUGGGAGGUGGAGUGGAGCAGUCAUGGAUGGAUUUACAUAUCAGUCUCAUAUAAAGGAAUCAGCAGGAAAGGAGUGAGUGAUGACUGUGGCUUUGGAUACAACAAUCUGUCCUGGAGUCUGCAGUGUUCUCCGUCUAAACUCUGCUUCUCUCACAACGACAUUGAGUCCGAUCUCACAGUUCCAUCGUCCUCCAGAAUAGGAGUGUAUGUGGAUCACAGUGCAGGAACUCUGUCCUUCUACAGCGUCUGACACGAUGAAGCUCCUCCACAGAGUCCACACCACAUUCACUCAGCCUCUAUACGCCGGGUUCUGGCUGUCGUAUUAUGGAACAGCUGUGAAGUUAUGCGAUCCAGAGCGAAUAAUCAUGUUAUUUUUAGUAAAAUGGCCUCGGGCCCGUCGUUGCACUGUAAUCAAGUUGCUUUAAUUUUCCUUAGUAAAUAAAUUUAACAUA